CGUUACCCAUUUCGAGAGCUUUCUAUUUUCGCAUUUAAUUUCCGUCUCCAAAGACAGAUUUUGUUGGAUAAUUUGAAAUCGGAAAUUGACAAAAUAUUUUUACACGAACUUGUCCCCACUUCAGGACUUUUUCGUGAAAAUGUCAGGGUGAGAGAUGUUCCAGCUCACUUCCUGGAAGUGGAUUGGCAUAGUAAACAGUGUAGAAAUUGACACUGACAGCAGGAUGAGCCAAUGCAAUGAAACAACCCACAGUCAAGUGUUGCCUGAAAGCAGAGUUGCGAAGAAGCUUUGCCCAGAGGAAGUAUAUCCCCAGCUUGGAGAGCAACA